UACGGGGGGAGCAAGCGUUGUUCGGAUUUACUGGGCGUAAAGGGCGCGUAGGCGGUCAGCACAAGUCAGUUGUGAAAUCUCCGGGCUUAACUCGGAAAGGUCAACUGAUACUGUGCGACUAGAGUGCAGAAGGGGCAACUGGAAUUCUCGGUGUAGCGGUGAAAUGCGUAGAUAUCGAGAGGAACACCGGUGGCGAAGGCGGUUAGCUGGGCAGUUGCUGACACUGAGGCGCGACAGCGUGGGGAGCAAACAGG
rnacentral:rRNA from 1 species